CUACGUGCCAGCAGCCGCGGUAAUACGUAGGUCCCGAGCGUUGUCCGGAUUUAUUGGGCGUAAAGCGAGCGCAGGCGGUUAGAUAAGUCUGAAGUUAAAGGCUGUGGCUUAACCAUAGUACGCUUUGGAAACUGUUUAACUUGAGUGCAAGAGGGGAGAGUGGAAUUCCAUGUGUAGCGGUGAAAUGCGUAGAUAUAUGGAGGAACACCGGUGGCGAAAGCGGCUCUCUGGCUUGUAACUGACGCUGAGGCUCGAAAGCGUGGGGAGCAAACAGGAUUAGAUACCCUGGUAGUCCACGCCGUAAACGAUGAGUGCUAGGUGUUAGACCCUUUCCGGGGUUUAGUGCCGCAGCUAACGCAUUAAGUGCCCCGCCUGGGGAGUACGGCCGCAAGGCUAAAACUCAAAGAAAUUGACGGGGGCCCGCACAAGCGGCGGAGCAUGCGGAUUAAUUCGGUGCAACGCGAAGAACCUUACCAAGGCUUGACAU
rnacentral:rRNA from 1 species